rnacentral:lncRNA from 1 species
CUGCAAUGCACUUACAACAUGGGCACCUCACUUGGUCUACCAAUAUGCCAAAAUCCACCUCCAAUAUAUCUUUCUGCAAACCUUCACACUCUUAACACAUGGAGCUCAGCAUACCCAAUCACCACUCCACUUUUUCCUGCCAUUGACAUCGUUUCGUUCAAAACCAGUUCCCUUCAAAUUAGAAAAUUCCUUUUGAUUCUCACCUCAAUAAGAUAAAGUGCGGUCUGCAUCUUUCCAUCCGAUUUCCCCAGCCUCCUCUUUGAAAAAUUUCACAGCCGUGACCUUAAUGUUCCCACAAUCCAGAUUAAUGGUUUCAUUCAUCACCAUUCCUUCAUUCCUUAUGAUCAAUGAUUUUCCGUUGCUAAAGUCUUUCUUGUACAAGGUGAAUGCAUCCAGAAAAAAAGUUGUUGGGACUUCAACUGCCUUUGGUUUAUUUGUUACCAAAUAUGUUCGAACAUCACUUUGGACAACAAGUUGGAACAAUGAAAAUACAGUGAAUUUUGUUGGCAUGUGUAAUUUGUUUAAUCUUGGUUUGUUUCCUAUAAGCAAAUUAUCUCUCGUUUGUGUUGAAAUUGAUUUUAUUUUUGCGAGAGGAUUUAUUUUCACAUGGGAGAAGGAGGAGUGGUUAAUUUGCAGCAAACUUUAUCCUUAUAUUAAAGUCUUUAACUUAGUCUUACUUGGUACUAAAGUUUAUUUAAAUUUUCCUAAGGCUAACAUCCGAAUUCUAAAGUGUGAGAGCUUGUUUCAUAAUUUCCAAGCCUAUUUGCUAUGUAUGGUGGCACUCAUGUAUUCAUCCAUUCUUUGGAGAAUAAACAUUAUUUGUACGUGAGGUGUUUAGGGUUAGUGAUUAUAAUAAUUGGAGUUCUUUGUUGGGUUGCAAUUAUCCCAAGUUGUAAGGGUAGAUUAGGUUGUAGCAAACAAGGUUUCGGAUCAAUUAUUAAAUAAAAUCCUUUACCGAGCAAGGCUUUACAAGGUAGGAUUGUUAUUCAAACAAUAUUAACAAACCGCGUGUGCUAUUUUUAUUUCUUUACCUUGCUUUUUUAUAAUUUAUUUGUUAACUUGCUUAGUUUCAAUAUGUGUUGGAACACCAAUUGGGAUAACCAAUUGGAACAUUUAGCAAAUCGAGAGCAUUUUCAAUUGGUAUCAGAGUAAACUUCAUACAUACAUGAAGGAGACCUUAUGUUCGGUUUGCAACCAUGAAGUCUAUGAAAGAAGGCAAUUUCAUUUCUCAAGCACUGUUACUUGUUGGCUCCUCAAUUUAUGCAUAUUGAAAAGCCUGUAUGAAGACUUUUAUUAUGCCUAUUGAUAAAGUUGUAGAAGAUGCUAUUCGGGUAUAAUACAAGGACUUCUAUUAAACUUUUAUUUUCUUAAACCCAAAAAGGUGAUGUGAAUCCCAUGACUCUAGAGGUCAAGGGUAGGAAUGUAACAGCUCACCUAGCGGAGUCUCUGUAUUCGAUUAUUGUUUGGAAAAUAGAUGGUAAAUGAAGGAUAGAUUUGAGUAAGUAAAGUAUUUUCCCUAGCUAAGUAGAGUAUUCUGAGCGAUUCACCAUUUGGAGAACUUCUAGUUUUGGCGAGCUCUAGGGUUUGAUGGGCUCUUCUGUUAAGUAUCUGCCCACCAAAGAUGCUUUGGGCGUACUCGUUAAGUUCUUAGUUGUUUAGAUUUGUUGGUUAUGUUAGUGCAUGAUGAUUUGGUUAGUAAUCUUCCUCAGUAAUGUAUGAAUGGUGUAUGUGUGGGUAAUGGUUGUCCAAUGUAAUCAGUUCGAGUUUAGUCUGUCUGUGUUAUGAAGUAAACACCAUCCUUCUUGCCAAACCAGUACCAUUUGUUUUUGAUAUGUGAGAUCUGAUCUAUGGUGAUGGAGAAGGGGAAAUAUGUUUGUAAAGCCUCUGAUAGUGCAACUAUAUUGGAAACCAGACUGGCAAAUCAUUAUAAAACAUGCUAUUCUAAAUGAAAGUGAUAUGAGGAGUUAAAGGGGAGUAUGUAUAUGAAUGAGACUGUAUGAUCCACUUCUGGAUCUGAAUUUUGGAUACGUGGUUGGCAUAAGGAUGGGUUGUCUAAGUUGUGUUAAGUUGGCAUACAAUAUCUGCCUAUGUGUUAUGUAAGUUGGCAUAUUAAGUCUGUUUGUGUUCUAUAAACACCAGUGGGCGUAUUAUGAUUAUCCUGUGUAAACCUAUAUGAAAGAUUUGGUAUUAUCCCAAGUAAUGAUGUGUAUGAAUUCUGUUUAUGUUUUGUAACUUACUAAGCUCGUAUGAACAGUCUCUAUCAUCUUUUCCUUCUCAGGCUUGCUGACUGAGCGAAGGUUUUUUGUUGAAGGGACUAUGCUAAAGAACUGUUGCUAUUGUGAGUUGUUUGUUUUGUCCCGUAUCAUGCAUGACUUCUUGGGGUGGUGUGUAAAUGUACUUUUAAAAAUGAUUUGUAUAACGAACUACUAUUUUGACGAAACAUUGUUUUUAUGAGAACCUUAUCAAAUUUCAAUGCUUGGAUUUGAACUAUUAUAUCUCAUUCAAUGAAGUUUAUUUAUUCGCCAAAUGGUUUGAACAUUAUAUUGAACUACCAAUGAUGUACAUUUAAACUUUUGCAAAAUAAUAGCUAUCAUAUGUUUUGUACUUACAACUUUGUAAAAAUUUUAUAAAGUUUCCACUGUAUGAUUUGCUUAUAAAUUGUCUGAUUUAGGUUAUGACACAUCAUACUUGGAGCAAAUUAUUACGACGGGUUUGGCGUGUUACAAGAAAGCAAAAAGAUGUAAAAGGAAACCCAAAUUUGGUGUAAGAUUAUGUGGCUCUAACAUUCUAAUCAUUUAUUUGUUAUUAGUGUUUUGUUUUUUGAGGACCAAAAUAGAAUGGUGGAAGAAAGAGCUACAGUGUUACAGUUCAAGUUUUUGCUUGUUAGAG